AGGGCAAACUGCCAAAUUGCUGCUUAGGAAACGAAGUACCCCGGGCGCGACACCGCUGUAAGGACGUAACCUUGAGAAGGGACAGCAUUCAAUAACCCCGGCUUCAGAUGCCUUCUUGAAUGUCUCAUUCUCCUGAGCAAGAGCAAUGGUGAUAGAUCUCAUCUCUGGCAGCGAGAGAGGGAAGCAAGGAGAGAUCUCCUUCUGAGUACUCUUGUUUGAGGAGACAGCUUGGAGCUGUUAGUUUGCUGGAGAUGCUGACAUGGAUGAAUGGCUGACUCUGAGCUACUUGAAUAACUGUGGGAGAGAGAAGGCAAGAUGGAAUGAGGGAGAACACGUUGAAGAGUUGCCUGUGAGGUGCUUGCAGCUUCUACUGCUGUUCUCGGCUGAUGUCCAUUUUAAUGACUGUGUUAGGGGAUAAAGUAUUUC